AGGGAGUAGUUUGUUUUAAAUGCUUAUUCUUUAAGAAAGAAAUAAAAUGAAACGGAAUAUGAGAGAAAACGGUAACGGAACCCAGCAAUUCAUUCAUCGCCUUCACGCAAAAACUCUCCCACUCCCUCACUCUCAAAAUUUUCGCAACCCUCUCCCUCACUCUCGUCACUCUCCAGCGCUCAUACUAACCUUGCGAUACUACUCUCAAUCUCACUCUAAACGCAAAACCAAGGUUUUAAAGAGAAUCAAAUAAGAACACUCACCUUCGGCAGUGGUUCGGCGGCGACGGCGAGGCUUGGAUCUUCCUUCUUCGCCUCAAAGUUUUCUUUUUAAGGUUGGCUUAUGGAGAUCGAAACAGGUAUCUCUGCGAAACCCUUUCAGUAUGCUCAGAAUUUGUUCUGCCACUUUGAUGCUUGUUCUGGAACGUGAAAACCAGAACCUUCAUGAGUGGUUUACAGAUUUCUUCUUCUACUUUGUGAUACAGGCUAUAGCACAGCGUUUCUGAAUCAUCACAGCAAGAGAUAUGCAGCUUUAAAAGUAAUGUGCUUUGAAAAAAGGUGUUUUUGUUAUGGAAAUCCUAGGGUGGAGUUCUAGUGUGGAUGAAGUUCUUAGAUCCGCUUCUGGUUCGGUUGAGGAUGUGAAACUGUUUUGCUGUGAUCAAACUCAGGUUAACCAUUUGCCUUGGAAGUUAUGUUAGAGGCUGCUAUGGAGUUUUCGGUUUUGUAUGGAGGUUAACCAACCAAUUAGUAAGGGCGGAUUCAGGUUGUGGCUUUGAAUCAUGCUGUUGGAGGUUAGGUUUUUUCUUGGCAGGGUGUUGGUUUGCCAUCAAAGAAGGUUGAAAGGCUUAAUGAUGUAUUAUAAAGCUUUCUUUGGAGUUGGCUAGGAAUUGUAGAUUGCGGGUUUUGUGUAUUUUUUGAUUGAAAACCUUGUAUACAGAUGUAAUUGGGUUAAAUGGAAUUUGAAUGGUGUAAUUGAAUAUUAUAGUUGGAAUUGAAAAUUGUAUGGUUUCAAUGCAGUGGGCUUUGAA